rnacentral:rRNA from 1 species
ACUGCUCAGUAACACGUGGAUAACCUACCCUAAGGUGGGAGAUAACCCCGGGAAACUGGGGAUAAUACCCCAUAGUCUAUGGAAGCUGGAAUGCUCUAUAGUUGAAAGAUUUAUCGCCUUAGGAUGGGUCUGCGGCCGAUUAGGUAGUUGUUGGGGUAACGGCCCAACAAGCCUUUGAUCGGUACGGGUUGUGGGAGCAAGAGCCCGGAGAUGGAUUCUGAGACACGAAUCCAGGCCCUACGGGGCGCAGCAGGCGCGAAAACUUUACAAUGCGGGAAACCGUGAUAAGGGAACUCCGAGUGCCCGUAAACGCGGGCUGUCCAUCUGCUUAAAAAACAGGUGAAGAAAGGGCCGGGCAAGACCGGUGCCAGCCGCCGCGGUAAUACCGGCGGCUCGAGUGGUGGCCACUAUUACUGGGCUUAAAGCGUCCGUAGCUUGGUUGUUAAGUCUCUUGGGAAAUCUGUCGGCUUAACCGACAGGCGUUUAAGGGAUACUGGCAAUCUAGGGACCGGGAGAGGUGAGAGGUACUCCAGGGGUAGGAGUGAAAUCCUGUAAUCCUUGGGGGACCACCUGUGGCGUAGGCGUCUCACCAGAACGGCUCCGACAGUGAGGGACGAAAGCUGGGGGAGCAAACCGGAUUAGAUACCCGGGUAGUCCCAGCCGUAAACGAUGCGCGUUAGGUGUAUCGGUGACCACGAGUCACCGAGGUGCCGAAGGGAAACCGUGAAACGUGCCGCCUGGGAAGUACGGUCGCAAGGCUGAAACUUAAAGGAAUUGGCGGGGGAGCACCACAACAGGUGGAGCCUGCGGUUUAAUCGGACUCAACGCCGGGAACCUCACCGGAUAAGACAGCGGGAUGAUAGCCAGGCUGAAGACUUUGCUUGACUAGCUGAGAGGAGGUGCAUGGCCGUCGUCAGUUCGUACUGUGAAGCAUCCUGUUAAGUCAGGCAACGAGCGAGACCCCU